CCCGAACCCUCCAGGGAUUUGUCUUUGCAGUUUUUCUCUCGCAAUAGCGCCUGUUUGAAAGUUUUUUUUUCUUUUUUUUCUUCUUCUAAUGACGUCAUCACUAAAAGAGUAUAAAAGGCGUCAAGACCGCGACGCUCAUUCUUACACUCACCACUGACAGCGAGAGCCACGUCGCUCUGGUCCACCUGCUACGCCGGCCGUACAACAGCGUUUAAAAGUGACAAGCGUCAACUUGCACUUUGGGCGUGCUUCCAUCAUGCAAGCUCAAAAGUUUGCAGAAGCUAGCGUUAGCAGUUAACAUCUCCGACGACCACCAAAACGCAUUUAUCUGGCGUGCAACCAAACAAUUGAAGCAGUUAACGGUGGUAACGUCUGGACGACAGCGCCGUUUGGCCGAAGGUGCAAACCCUCAAAACGAGCCCAUCAUGGCCGACUUUCUAGUCCAAAAUGGCCACCUUGCAGUCCUCGCAUGGCUUCAUGAGACAUUUUCAGACCAGCGAGCUGCGGUUGGAGAGACGUCCAGCCCUGCCCUCCAUUCGUCACUGGUAAAACACGCACGCGUCCAAAUGUUUGACACAUGCCUAACAUUUCAGCAUGUUCUUCCUCAUUUUGUCCACCAGGUGGAGGCCAAAGGACCUAGUUUCUGUUUCCACAAAACUGCCUCGUUUUCAGAGUUGAUGUACAAAUAAAAUGUACUAAAUGGCAGCUUGAUUGUGUUGUGUGCAGGUGUCCAUCCUGGAAAAUUUUUACAACAUUUGAGGAACUCUGCCUGUGCACCAGCGACUGGCUGCUUCCACUCUACAGUAAAAAAACAAAAGCAGUAAACUUAAAUGCAGUCGUGUCAAUGUUCCUUUUUUCUUUCCAGGCAAAGGUGGCAAAUCCAGGGCCAGAAAGUGUAAAACCUGCCACAGUUUGUCUUCAACGUCUGUGCAGCCUGAAGAAUCCUCCGCUGUGUGGAUCACUAUCCGCUCGUAGUAGAAGCCGAGGACAAGAACAAAGCCGCAUACCAGCAGCACUUUGGUGUAAUUUACUCAACUCUAAGGCAACCUGAGAAGAAGGAAGGAACAAAACAACUUCCUGGGUCAUGCAGCAAGGAACAAAAUCUGCUUCCUUGUCAUGCAGCUUGCAGUACUAGGUGCCAUAAACUCUACUUGCGCACUGGUCCAGGCAUGGAGUACCACUCGUCCCACUGGCCGACCACUUGUCCCACUGGCCGACCACUCGUCCCACUGGCCGACCACUCGUCCCACUGGCCGACCACUCGUCCCACUGGCCGACCACUCGUCCCACUGGCCGAC